AUUGAACGCUGGCGGCAGGCCUAACACAUGCAAGUCGAACGGUAACAGGAAGAAGCUUGCUUCUUUGCUGACGAGUGGCGGACGGGUGAGUAAUGUCUGGGGAACUGCCUGAUGGAGGGGGAUAACUACUGGAAACGGUAGCUAAUACCGCAUAACGUCGCAAGACCAAAGAGGGGGACCUUCGGGCCCCUUGCCAUCGGAUGUGCCCAGAUGGGAUUAGCUAGUAGGUGGGGUAACGGCUCACCUAGGCGACGAUCCCUAGCUGGUCUGAGAGGAUGACCAGCCACACUGGAACUGAGACACGGUCCAGACUCCUACGGGAGGCAGCAGUGGGGAAUAUUGCACAAUGGGCGCAAGCCUGAUGCAGCCAUGCCGCGUGUAUGAAGAAGGCCUUCGGGUUGUAAAGUACUUUCAGCGGGGAGGAAGGGAGUAAAGUUAAUACCUUUGCUCAUUGACGUUACCCGCAGAAGAAGCACCGGCUAACUCCGUG
rnacentral:rRNA from 1 species